UUCCUUUGCUCAAAAACAACAAAAAAAACGAAAGCACUCCCCAUAGCAGCACCGAGCAGACGCUCUUGUGCCAGAAUGCUAAUCAUAGUGCUGUACUGGUGAUUGGACAACAGAGGUUGAAUUGCAAAGAAUGGAAGGGAAGAAGAGCAGUUGUUGAACCUUAGAGAUGAUAGAUGAUAGAUGAUAGUUGUGGUCUAGGCUAACGCACAGUCCUCAAUUGAACGGUACUACGUCG
rnacentral:misc_RNA from 1 species